GACGAACGCUGGCGGCGCGCUUAACACAUGCAAGUCGAACGGAAAGGCCUGCUUUCCCUUGUGGAUUGCGGGUACUCGAGUGGCGAACGGGUGAGCAACACGUGAGUGAUCUGCCCCCAACUUGGGUAUAAGCCUGGGAAACUGGGUCUAAUUCCCGAUAGGACUGCAGGGUGGUGCCUGUGGUGGAAAACGAUUUUCUAGUGGUUGGGGAUGAGCUCGCGGCCUAUCAGCUUGUUGGUGGGGUAAUGGCCUACCAAGGCGGCGACGGGUAGCCGGCCUGAGAGGGUGGACGGCCACAUUGGGACUGAGAUACGGCCCAGACUCCUACGGGAGGCAGCAGUGGGGAAUAUUGCACAAUGGGCGGAAGCCUGAUGCAGCGACGCCGCGUGGGGGAUGACGGCCUUCGGGUUGUAAACUCCUUUCGACCGCGAGGAAGCCACCUGGUUGGAAGGGUGGUGACGGUAGUGGUAGAAGAAGCACCGGCUAACUACGUG
rnacentral:rRNA from 1 species